GAAGCAAGGGCAUAUUAUCAAGGAUUGCCCAAUACGUCCUGCACGUCGCCAAGCAACUGCUUAUUCAGCUGCUGCUGAGGCUACUAGUGCUGCCAGUUCUACCUUGGCCAUUUCCUCUCAAGUUCCAGCUUCCACUUCUCAAAAUUCCACUCCUAUCAUACCAGAAAUGGUCCAACAAAUGAUAAUCUCAGCUCUUUCAGCUUUUGGUAUUUCAGUAUGCUGGUCCACUUAAAAUUCACACGGCAAAUGGUAGUUCCCUACCUAUCACUGCCAUAGGAUCAGGUGACCGGGAAGAUGAUCGCGAGGGGUCCUAAAGAGGGUCGGCUGUUUCCAUUAUGUUUAGAUUCCA